UUUUGUUAAUUUUUAUAAUAGGGAAGAACACAUCUGACUCCAUAUUGACCUGUUCCUUUAGCUCUAACCCUGGGCUCUGUUUCCUGGGCUCAGUCAUGCUGGUUCUGCACCUUUUGUAAAAGAAUGUUGCCUGGAGCCUGAAACAGACAGGAGAGCCCAUU